GUGUACUUAGCUGAAUGGUUAGAGCAUCACUCAUGAAUGCUAAGGUUGUGGGUUCAAGUCCAACAGUACACA
rnacentral:tRNA from 1 species